rnacentral:rRNA from 1 species
UUAACUGAAUACAUAGGGUAAGGAGGCGAACCGGGGGAACUGAAACAUCUAAGUACCCCGAGGAAAAGAAAUCAACCGAGAUUCCGAAAGUAGCGGCGAGCGAAAUUGGACUAGCCCUUAAGCUUUACACGCGUUAGACGAACGGUCUGGAAAGUCCGACGAUACAGGGUGAUAGUCCCGUAGUUGACGACGUGUGUUCAGUGAAAUCGAGUAGGGCGGGACACGUGAUAUCCUGUCUGAAUAUGGGGGGACCAUCCUCCAAGGCUAAAUACUACUGACUGACCGAUAGUGAACCAGUACCGUGAGGGAAAGGCGAAAAGAACCCCUGUGAGGGGAGUGAAAUAGAACCUGAAACCGUGUACGUACAAGCAGUAGGAGCAGGCUUUGUCCUGUGACUGCGUACCUUUUGUAUAAUGGGUCAGCGACUUAUAUUCAGUGGCAAGGUUAACCAUCUAGGGGAGCCGUAGGGAAACCGAGUCUUAACUGGGCGUUCAGUCUCUGGAUAUAGACCCGAAACCAGGUGAUCUAGCCAUGGGCAGGUUGAAGGUUGAGUAACAUCAACUGGAGGACCGAACCGACUAAUGUUGAAAAAUUAGCGGAUGACUUGUGGCUAGGGGUGAAAGGCCAAUCAAACCUGGAGAUAGCUGGUUCUCCCCGAAAGCUAUUUAGGUAGCGCCUCGGACGAAUACUACUGGGGGUAGAGCACUGUUAAGGCUAGGGGGUCAUCCCGACUUACCAACCCUUUGCAAACUCCGAAUACCAGUAAGUACUAUCCGGGAGACACACGGCGGGUGCUAACGUCCGUCGUGGAGAGGGAAACAACCCAGACCGCCAGCUAAGGUCCCAAAUUACUACUAAGUGGGAAACGAUGUGGGAAGGCUCAGACAGCCAGGAUGUUGGCUUAGAAGCAGCCAUCAUUUAAAGAAAGCGUAAUAGCUCACUGGUCGAGUCGGCCUGCGCGGAAGAUGUAACGGGGCUAAGUAGUAAACCGAAGCUGCGGCAAUGUGCUUUUGCACAUUGGGUAGGGGAGCGUUCUGUAAGCGGUUGAAGGUGUGUGGUAACGCAUGCUGGACGUAUCAGAAGUGCGAAUGCUGACAUGAGUAACGAUAAAGGGGGUGAAAAACCUCCUCGCCGGAAGACCAAGGGUUCCUGUCCAACGUUAAUCGGGGCAGGGUAAGUCGACCCCUAAGGCGAGGCCGAAAGGCGUAGUCGAUGGGAAACGGGUUAAUAUUCCCGUACUUCUUACAAUUGCGAUGGGGGGACGGAGAAGGCUAGGUGGGCCUGGCGACGGUUGUCCAGGUUCAAGUGCGUAGGCUUAAGAGUUAGGUAAAUCCGGCUCUUUUUAAGGCUGAGACACGACGUCGAGCACCUACGGGUGUGAAGUCAUUGAUGCCAUGCUUCCAGGAAAAGCCUCUAAGCUUCAGAUUGUAAGGAAUCGUACCCCAAACCGACACAGGUGGUCGGGUAGAGAAUACCAAGGCGCUUGAGAGAACUCGGGUGAAGGAACUAGGCAAAAUGGUACCGUAACUUCGGGAGAAGGUACGCUCUUGAUGGUGAAGUCCCUCGCGGAUGGAGCUGACGAGAGUCGCAGAUACCAGGUGGCUGCAACUGUUUAUUAAAAACACAGCACUGUGCAAAAUCGUAAGAUGACGUAUACGGUGUGACGCCUGCCCGGUGCCGGAAGGUUAAUUGAUGGGGUUAGACUUCGGUCGAAGCUCUUGAUCGAAGCCCCGGUAAACGGCGGCCGUAACUAUAACGGUCCUAAGGUAGCGAAAUUCCUUGUCGGGUAAGUUCCGACCUGCACGAAUGGCGUAAUGAUGGCCACGCUGUCUCCACCCGAGACUCAGUGAAAUUGAAAUCGCUGUGAAGAUGCAGUGUACCCGCGGCUAGACGGAAAGACCCCGUGAACCUUUACUACAGCUUGGCACUGAACAUUGACCCUACAUGUGUAGGAUAGGUGGGAGGCUUUGAAGCACGUACGCCAGUAUGUGUGGAGCCGUCCUUGAAAUACCACCCUUGUAGUGUUGAUGUUCUAACGUCGACCCCUUAUCGGGGUUGCGGACAGUGCCUGGUGGGUAGUUUGACUGGGGCGGUCUCCUCCCAAAGAGUAACGGAGGAGCACGAAGGUGGGCUAAUCACGGUUGGACAUCGUGAGGUUAGUGCAAUGGCAUAAGCCCGCUUGACUGCGAGAAUGACAAUUCGAGCAGGUGCGAAAGCAGGUCAUAGUGAUCCGGUGGUUCUGAAUGGAAGGGCCAUCGCUCAACGGAUAAAAGGUACUCCGGGGAUAACAGGCUGAUACCGCCCAAGAGUUCAUAUCGACGGCGGUGUUUGGCACCUCGAUGUCGGCUCAUCACAUCCUGGGGCUGAAGUCGGUCCCAAGGGUAUGGCUGUUCGCCAUUUAAAGUGGUACGCGAGCUGGGUUUAGAACGUCGUGAGACAGUUCGGUCCCUAUCUGCCGUGGGCGUUGGAAGAUUGAAGGGGGCUGCUCCUAGUACGAGAGGACCGGAGUGGACGAACCUCUGGUGUUCGGGUUGUGUCGCCAGACGCAUUGCCCGGUAGCUAAGUUCGGAAUCGAUAACCGCUGAAAGCAUCUAAGCGGGAAGCGAGCCCUGAGAUGAGUCUUCCCUGAUACUUUAAGUAUCCUAAAGGGUUGUCGGAGACUACGACGUUGAUAGGUCAGGUGUGUAAGUGCUGUGAGGCAUUGAGCUAACUGAUACUAAUUGCCCGUGAGGCUUAACCAUACAACACCCAAGGGGUUU